AGGUUUCAGGUACGUUCACCAACUUUCUUUCAAAAAUCCCGGGACCAGCAUUGGUACAUUACUCAGUUGGAAGCUGCACAGACUAGUUAUAUCCAACAAAUAAACAACCUUAAAGAGAGACUUACUAUUGAGCUGUCUCGAACUCAGAAGUCAAGAGAUUUGUCACCACCAGAUAACCAUCUUAGCCCCCAAAAUGAUGAUGCUCUGGAGACACGAGCUAAGAAGUCUGCAUGCUCUGACAUGC
rnacentral:lncRNA from 1 species